ACGCUAAAUGGAGCAUUCACCAAACCUCAAAACUGCUCCGUUAUUCAACCGUGCAACAAGUGAUAUCCUGGAUAACUAAUAGAGAGAGAUGAAGUAAUUAAGAGCUGAAAUAUGGGAUGUAUCAAAAAGUACUACGUGAUUCUUGACGCAGCAUACGACUGAAAGAAACCUGUGCAGCCUGUGGACGAUCCCUAUGGUGCAAAUGCUGUCAUUGCAUUUGGGACUUUCUCUGUCCCAGUAGCAGACAUGUACCCUGAAAGUACACAUUCAGAAGCACCAACAGUUGGAAUUCCUGAAACCGAGGAAGAGAAUUCUGCAUCUUCGGCAGUACCAGUGUAACAGAGUUUACACCGUGUCAUUGAAAUCAUUUCUAUCUGAAGACAUGAUACUUGCACAAGAAAAUUAUACUCUAUUAUGUUUAUGGCUACACUUUUAUAAGCUAGUUAAAAUAGUUCGAUUUUGUAGCAUUGUUGUUUUUUGUUUAAUUUUACAAAUGGUGCUUUUCCUGUGUCGAGUAUCCUCAAGUUCAUAAGAAACAAUUUUUGUAAUGAUUUGUGGCGCAGUAUGUUGUAAAUUUAUACAGUAUACAUGUUAGUGAAAACAAAAGACUCUUGUUAACCUGUUCUCUCAAAAUAAAAUAGGUUUUAGGCAAGAGGUGCACUACAUUGGCAUUGACUGAUUGAGGUGAAAAGCAAGACUUUAUGGUGCAGCUUUUACAUAGCUGUCAAAAUGCCAAUCAUCUCUCCAUAGAUAAUGGGGAGUCAUCAUGAAGCCACUGUUGCAAGCUUCUAAUCUCCACUCUAGAAAAGGACAAGGUGGAAGCUACAGAGCAAUUCACCUUCCUCACUCUGAGCUGGAGGAAAUGCAGUCUUGCAGAAACAGAACAAAGUCUGUGAAGGAAAGUAUAGAGCUAACUAAAAUGGUAAUGUACCAACUUGCACCUCUUGUAGCUCUCUAGGAUCUAUAUAUUGUAUAUUAUCCUAUACAGAAGUAACAUAUAUUUUAAAUCAGAAUAAUUAACUUAUCCUGAAGUUGAAGUUAUUGUAAUUAUUAUCUAUGUUAUUAUAUCAAUUGAAAGUUGAAUGUGUGUGAUUUGUAAACAUUUUUAAAAUGAUUGGGCCUGGGUUUUGCUUUGGGUAGAUGACAAAUGAUGAGCAUUGCUGGUAAGCCUGGCCAUGAGCCAUUUGAAUGUUCUUAUCUUCCGGCAAGAACAGGAUAUAGGAAUAUUGAGCCAACCACAUCUUGGCCAUUUAUGAUCAUUACUAUUGAGCAGAAAGCAUAAAAACUGUCUGAAGAGCUAGUAAAGUUGCAAUAAAUAAAACACUGCUUCACUCCCCCCCCAAGUAUGUUUGAAGGGGACAUGUUUCUACUUGUGCUCAGAGACUGUUCAGCUGUGUAAAUUUGGGAGUGCAGAAUUUUAGUCAGCCUGUUGUUCCCUUCCAUAAAUCUCAGCUGGCGAUGUGCCCUCCCACCACUCCUGUCCUCAUUUGAUCCAUAGUGGCUCCUACUCCUAACUUCCUAAAUUUAAUUCUUUAUCCUCUUUUAAAUCCCUCUGUGACAUAGCCCCACCCUCCACCUGAGAACCACACAUGAAAAUGCUCCGUUCAUCUAACUCUCCUGUGUUGUGCUUUGGACCAACGUUUUGUAGCUAUGCCUUCAGCAGCUUGGGUCUCACUCUUUAGAAUUUCCCCACUAAAGCUCCUCUAACUCUCUCUCUUGCUUUAAGACCUUCAUUAAUGUCUUUAACUGAGCUUGUGAUCACCCUUCCUAAUCUCCAGUUUUUGGCUCAGUGGCCAUUUUCCUCCCUCCUCUAUGAAGAAACUUGGAACACUUCUACACCUAAAGCGCUGUAUAAAUGCCAGUUGUUGUCUUCAUUGCCAUCAUCUUAGUCUCUGUCGGUAUUAUUAAGUAGAAAAUCAGGACUCAGUUCAUAAUUCUAAUAAGUGUCCCAAAUUCUGAUGUUCUGUCCUUCAGUCACUUCCUCUGUGAAGAAUAUUGUUAACCAUUACUGGUUGAUUUUAAACAAAAUAUCCAAACGUCUGCCAGUUACCUGACUACCCAGAAAAUAGGCCAGGCCAUGUUUUGCUAUAAGAUGUUUAAGUUUUAUAAUGGUAAUAAGUUGUGUUGAAUUGAAUCUUGUAUUAAUAGACAAUAAAGCAUUAUGAUUGUUACUUAA